AUAAUGCUCCAGGCUCUUCAUGCAUGAUGAGACCUGAGUGCUGGCAUGGAGUUCAGUAGUCUUAUGGCCCGGAGGAAGAAGCUGUUUCCCAUCCUAAUGCUAUGGUACCUCUUGCCUGAUGGUAGGGGGUCAGAAGUGAUUAUUUGAUGGCUGAGAGGGAUCACUAAGAAUGUUAAGGGCCCUGCAUAUGCAACACUCCUGAUAAAUAUCUUGGAUGGGUGGAAGAAAGACCCCAAUGGCCCUCUCAACAGUGUUUGCAAUCUUUUGUUGGCAUUUGUUAUCCGAAGCCUUGCAAUUCCUGCACAGACAAUGAUGCAGCUGGUCAGGACACUGUCUUGUAAAAGUUGGUUAAAAUUAAGGGGGGGGAGAGGUUCAGAGCCUCACUCAUCUCAAUCCCUUCAGGAAAUGGAGAUGCUGCUGCGUGUUCUUGAGCAAAUAUGUAGUGUUGAGGGACUAGGUUAGAUCAGCUAUUAUACGCGCUCCUAGAAAAGCGUAGUGUUCCUAACUCUGUCCACAGAGGAGCCGUGUAUGUGCAGUGAGGAAUGUUUAGCCAGCACCUUCAUAAAGUCCACAAUCAUCUCUUUGGUCUUGUUUACCUUGAGACUCAAGUUUCUGUGCUCACACAACUCUACCAGCUGCUUUACCUCCCCUCCAUGUGGCAUCUUGUCAUUGCUGUUUAUGAGGCCAGACACUCCACUGUUGUGUCAUUAGCGAACUUGAUGAAUCAGUUUGAAAUGGACCGAGCAGUGCAUUUAUGAGUCAGCAACAUGAACAGCAGGGGGCUGAACAUGCAGCACUGGGGAGUGCUGGUGCUCAGGUUUGUACAGUUAGAGAUCCUUCUGCCAACACAGACUGACAGUGGCCUUUCUGUCAAGAACCCCAAGAUCCAGUUACAGAGAGGAACUGAGGCCCAGUGAGGACAGUUUACUCACCAGUUUCCAAUGGGUGAUCAUAUUAAAUGCUUAGCUGAAGUUGUUAAACAUUUUCCAGGCAUAUAAGCCAUCAUUUUCUAGGGGUGACAGGACGGACUGGAGUGCAGAGUCUAUAGCAUCAUCAGUGGACUAGUUUGAGUGAUAAAAGGACUGGAAAGUGUCCAAUAUAGCAGGAAUAUGAGAGGUAGUGCAAUCCAUAACCAGCUGCUCAAAGCUCUUCAUUAUUGUUGAGGUGAGCGCCACUGGACAGUAUGUCUCCCAUGGGUGAAAUCCAUGUUGCACUAAGGCUUUGAUGAUGUUAUACUGUACAGUAUAGUGAUUUUUCCAAACACUGUACCUACUUCAUUUUGCCCUUGCACAAAUACAAACUUUUUUAUUAGGAACCUUAACAGCAGUGUGACUGUUACUGUUGAGAUUGGCCCAAGUCCAACUGACUUUCCAUGGGGAGCCACAAGCUGUCAGUCACUUGUUUCAGAUUUCCAUGCAUGCUUAGGGAAACACUUAAUUACCAGUAAGUUGGAGGUCGGAUAUCAAUGCAACUGACCUUGUUUUCCUCUGCUGGACUUGCCUUUGAGUUCAACAGCAAUGCACUGACACAGUGAAGAAGGACCUGCUCUCCAGCUUUACACCUAAUAGGGCGGGUUGGCGGCACUCUCGCAUGCAGUGGCCUCUCGGGAUCCAACCAAAGAUGGUCUGCGAGUGGAGUUGGAUCGCUCUGGGAACCAAGAAGAGAAGUUGAGGCCUGGGCAGAGGAGAUUCAAUGCCUGUACAUCUGGCCAGGAGAAUGGGCAACCUAGUAAACUGAUUGUGAACAAAAUCUAUCUAUCCAUUGAUAUUUUGAUGAAAUAUCCAACCAAAUGGACCCACACAAAGUAUUCCACUUUCAAGUGGGAAAAAAAAUGCAACAUUUAUGGAAUAAAUCUAGCUGAAGUGAUGAAG